UUAACAUAAUAAUUUCAUACAAAACCAAUAAUGAUACAAGCUACCGGUGACAUUCAUACACCAGCUAUAUAUAAAAUCAAAAGACUUGAAAAAUUCACUAGAAUAAAUCAACCUCAACAAGAGCAAUCAUAGUUGCAGCCAUCAUUAUAAAAGCAUCCGUAGCAUUUACAAUGGGAGUCCUCCAUUGCCAUGGAUAUGGAAACCUUAUCCUGCAUGUUGAGAAGUAACAGAAUCCCUUAUAACAAGUGAAGCAUAAAACUAAAGUUGGCAGGAGAAAAUCAUUUGCAGUGCUUAAAUAAUGUCCAUGUCCCCCAAGAGCAUGAUAUGAAACAGAUAAUUUAUCUUUUGAUGUUAGAAUUAUGCAUGAGUCUACCUUGACCAAAUGCAGAAUGAAGAAAAAUGGUGUAAGUUAAAUAAAGGGACACUUACCAAUCAAUCGUAUUAGUCCCAAAAGUAGAACAUAUUGGCAAUUAGUCCUAAAAGUAGGACCUAUUGGUAAGUUACCAUUAAAUAAAUUAGAAAGUCAGAAAUCAAGAAUAUUGUGCUUCAAAUUCCAAAAUUUAAGACUAGCUUAAGGUGUCGUAGUACUAAAAGAAGAAGGAGAAGUACAGAGAAAUAAAGAGAGAGCACUUUUCGGGAUGAAAUGCUAGUUUCGACAAUUAUCAUAUUCAUAACAUAACUUUACUAACAAGUUAAUUUUCAACCAAAUCUUAUUUGAUCAUAACAGAAGUAGAUACACAGAGAGUGAACAACACAGCCAAUGCCCCUAGUAAGGCUUUUCUACCCUAUAUUAGUAUUGGUACCAUCACUCCUGCUCCAAUUGUUUCCCUUAUUUUUUUUUCCAAUUAGGAGAAACUUAGAUGCAUGGAGGAAAAAAUAAACGACAAACAAAACAUUUUAAUAAACCACACGCAACAACAAAAACACAUAAAAAGAAGGAAAUUAUUCAGUUUUAUUCCUUUACACAUUUGGUUACUGCAGCAAAGACAGAUUAGUACAAAAUUAAUCAUACAUGAAAUUUUGUUAAUACCACUUUACAGGCCUUAUUAACACUGAAGAGAGUUUAUUAUUUUUUUGAAAAACACAAGUCUUGAAGUUACUAAAUGUUAGAUUCCUGGUGCCCACGUUGCAAAACAACUUGACAUGAAAUCCAUCAACACAUGCCUAGAUAUCCUUGAUUCGUAGAACUGAAUGAGCAUUUUAAGUUUUUAGUAUCCAAGCAAAAUCAACUAGAAUAACUGAAAAUACUUCAUAGCAUACACUUACCAUGCCAUAACUUAUUGUCAAACUGGGUUUUAGGAACGAAAAUACUAAACUGAAAAGUAGAAACAAAAUCAAAAUUCAAUCUAAUGUACCAUUAAGAGUAAUGGCAAUGCAUCAAGAGCAGUUUUAAGAAGAAUAAUGCUUCUAAUCAAAAAUCAACCUAAUGCACCUAUAAGAAUAAUAUUCAUUAUUUUGUAAAAAAUGCACAUGUAGAGUGCAUGACCUUCCCAACUACUACUUACAGAACACUAGAGUGGAUGGAAUGCAGUAUACAAAGAUGCAGCAUGUCCACUUUAUGUGCUGAUCUUUUAUGAAUUUGUGAUGUGAAACUACUGGGGAUAUAUUGAUUCUUCUUCUGUUUAGUUUAUUUUUUAAAUGAUGUGAAUUGUCUUUCUCUUCCUAGAUACAUUCUUCAUGGAAUUACAUAAUAUGUUCCCUUCCUUGUUAAUAUAACUGCAAUGUCGUACUUGCUGUGGACAAUCUUGAAUUGUUCAACCGGAUUGCAGAAACAUUUUGUUCCCAGGCAGCUACAAAAUUGGUCAUACUACUUUGGAAGGAGAAAUCAAGCCUGAUUAGCAAAGUGCUGGAGGGAUUGUCUGUUUACAAUUACAAGGAGAUCAUAGAUUUGGGAUGUGAGAGUCGUAUGCCUUUGCUUGAGUCUCAUGAUGCUAGGCAGCACUAUACUUAUGAAGCCAUCAGCUCUGAUGAUGUUGCCACACUUGUAUACACUAGUGGAACUAUUGGCAAUCCAAAAGGUGUUAUGCUUACACAUAAGAAUCUGUUGCACCAGGUCUGAGUGUUUUCUACUUUUUAAAAGUUCUCUUAACAUAUUUGCUUGAGGUUUGUCUUCUGAUGUAAAUCUCUAACUUAUUUAAGAAAAUUGAAGGCUGGAGUUUCUGGUGUUUUUUUUUUUCAAGUGGAUAUUUGAAUUUCUGAACUUUUUCCUGCAAUAUUCAUCCAGAUGGGAAAUGAUGUUUUUGCCUUUAUCAUUGUGCCGCCCAUUUGUAUGGUGUACUAUGUUAUCUAUGGGGUAGCAUAUUUGACCCGAAAUGCAAAUUUUUGUAUUCUCCUACUCAUGGUAUUUUUACCGAAAUUUCAAUUUGUAUUCAUUUCCCAUUACUUCCAGCAACCAAACGAAUCAAACUGAAAUGUUAUGGAAUAAGACACAAAUAAUUAUUAAAGAAAGAAAAUUAGAGGGUUUUUAAAACCAAACCCGGUCAAAAGAACUUCAGCAGCAUCCUUUUGUCAAUCGUACACCACCCUCCUUUUUUUUUUUCUCAAACGCAAUUCAACUCUUUUGCCCUUGGUAGGGAAAAGAAGGAGAAAUAGAAAAUCGAGAUAGAUAUACAGGUCAACCAACGAAAAAAAAUUAAUUAAUAGUAGUAGUGAAUAAAAAUUUGAGACAAAUUGAUUGAUUGAAUAGCAAAGUAGAACAGCGAAGUGAGAGUGACAUUUGGUAUCACUAUGAUGCAGCGAACCUCAAAUAAUUCAGACAUUCCAAGCUAUGCUAGCAAAAAAUAUUUAGAAAGGUGUAAGGAAAAUGCAGCAAUUGAGUUGUAAUACAUGAACAAAAUAAA